rnacentral:rRNA from 1 species
UACAGAGGUCUCAAGCGUUUGUUCGGAUUCAUUGGGCGUAAAGGGUGCGUAGGCGGCGCGGUAAGUCGGGUGUGAAAUCUCGGAGCUUAACUCCGAAACUGCAUUCGAUACUGCCGUGCUUUGAGGACUGGAGAGGAGACUGGAAUUUACGGUGUAGCGGUGAAAUGCGUAGAUAUCGUAAGGAAGACCAGUGGCGAAGGCGGGGUCUCUGGAACGCAACUGACGCUGAGACGCGAAAAGCGUGGGGGAGCAAACAGG